CAGCCCGUCAGCUGAAGUGAUGUCAUCAUCUGUCCCACAAUGCAAUCCACUGGAGGAUGGGCAAAAACAAGACAACCAACAUCAGUGCCUUGAUAUUACUGCACAACAAUUAGAUGGUAAUGAUGCCACAAAUCUAGAGGCUGACAAUGAGAUAUCUAUAUUGGGAAAGGAAACAUCAGAGGGCCUCACAACAAGCGAAGCAGAGCCUUUUAAUGAAGCUUUCAUGAGUAAAGAUGUUGACCAGCUCAUAAAGCAUGAGGAGGAAAAGGCAGAAAAGAGUCUUGAGUCCCUUGGUGACCAGAACAAGGAAGACAGUAUAAGCCUGAGUGUAUCAGAACAGGCAGAAGCUGUGAAUCGGUUAUCAUCUCCUACAGAAGUUCACAGUCCAGAUUGUGCAGCUAUCACAGUUGAGGAUGUACAUGCCAGUGAGAAAACAGAGUCUUUCUUCUGUCAGUCUGGUGUUGGGACUCACGGUGAGGCUCUUGAUCCUUUAGAACAAGAACACUACACAUCAUCUCUUACACCAGAUCACAUUCCAGAGAUCACAGUUGCCUCACUGAAUGUGCAUACAGAGAGUUCUAGCCCCGAGACAUACAACCCUGCAAUCGAACACUGUGAAGAAGUUGAACAAGGGACACAGACUCACAUUCUCAGUUCCUCUAUGGAACCAGAAGUUUCAAAUAUUAGUACCGACAUUUCUGAUGCAUUGCACAAUGAACAGACCAAGCAGUCUGUUUCUCAAUCACUUACUAUGGAAAGCACAGAUACACCGGAAAAGACAGCACAGUAUGACGACUGUGAAUCCACCUUCAAACUUCCAUAUCACACAGAGGAGGCGAAUGUAAAACAGGGUGCCUCGAAACAGAAGAGAAAGAUGGGGUCAACCCGCAGGACAAAGAGAGAACAGAAAAGGGAAGAGACAAGUGAAGUCAUGAGUAC
ensembl:lncRNA